GCUUAUUUGAGCCCGAUUUUUUCAUCCAAAAAAUUAAUUUUUUGACCGUUAUUUCACUAUUUCAGUUGUCAUAUUUGACUUCUUCUCUCACAGGUGAACCCCACUUUUCUUCUAACGGUCAAAAAAUCAAUUCUCAAAAUCACUCCCAAACAGGUUCUUAUACAUGCACGGUACAAAGCUGAAGCAAGGAAAUAGUUUGGAUCGUGAUUAUGGGUUUUCACCUUUCAAAAAAAUAUUUAUUCAAUCUUACAAGAUAGUAUUACGAGGUGCAAGUGGAUUGAAUGGGUCGUUGGUUGGCGGGGUGAUGAGAUGCAGUCGUGGUGCCAAUAUAUUUGAAAAUAAAUUAAAUCCGGUGUAGUGUAAUUAUAAAUUUUAUUUCCAGUUUCUACUCUAGUUGUGUCUAUUAAUGAGUCGAUAUCUUGAUUAUAGAAUGCGAUAUGAAUUAAAAUUUACUUUUUUUUUUUUUUUUGAAUUGCUCGUUUUAAAAAAAAUAAACUUCUUGGUGACAACUCAAAUUUAUUUUAUUGUAAAUUUUGGGUCGUUAUAGAAGAGUGUAGCAGUAUAGAUGGUAAAAGAAAAGCAGAAUUGGUUAAAUCACUGCAUGAAAAGUUAAGGUUGCAGAUUGAAAACAAAAGUAAACUUGUUGCAUCGCAGGCAAACAAAUGUAGGAAAAGGGUAAUAUUCGAACCUGGAGAUUGGGUUUGGUUACAUUUCAGAAAGAAACGCUUUCUAGAGCAAAGAAAGACAAAAUUACAACCACGGGGAGAAGUCAAUUUCAAGUUAUUGAGAAGAUCAACGACAAUACUUACUUGUUGGACUUACCAAGUGAGUAUAAUGUUUCGACAACUUUUAAUGUAGAUCCUUUGAAGAGGAAGAGGAUGAUGUGAUCCAAAAGCCAAGCUUGAAGACGGCAAAUUCGAGACGAGACCCAUUGGUAAUCGAAGGCGGACCGAUGACGCGAUCGAGGGCAAAGCAAGUGAAACAAGAGAUGAGAUACUAGUUCAAUCAACCAUUAAUGGAUGAUGUUCGGGACGCAAAAUGAGGCAGCUUUCAUGUUCGGGUCGAGAGUCGAGUCGAAGUGGAUCGAUUGGAUUUUAUAAUUUCAUUGCUUUUAAAACUUAUAUUCUAUAUUUAGUAUAAAUAUAAGUUCAUUUCCCACAUUGUAUUUUACCUUACAUUAUUUGAAAAUUUUAAUAAGAGAGGCAAAUUGCUUUCUUUA